rfam:Schistosoma mansoni strain Puerto Rico chromosome 5, complete genome
AUCCAGCUGAUGAGUCCUGAGAAAAACGAAACGCGCGUCCUGGAU